rnacentral:rRNA from 1 species
UACGGAGGGGACUAGCGUUGUUCGGAAUUACUGGGCGUAAAGCGCACGUAGGCGGAUUUGUAAGUCAGGGGGUGAAAUCCCGGGGGCUCAACCUCGGAACUGCCUUUGAUACUGGCAACCUUGAGUCCGGGAGAGGUGAGUGGAACUGCGAGUGUAGAGGUGAAAUUCGUAGAUAUUGCAAGAACACCAGUGGCGAAGGCGGCUCACUGGCCCGGUACUGACGCUGAGGUGCGAAAGCGUGGGGAGCAAACAGGG